rnacentral:rRNA from 1 species
AUUGAACGCUGGCGGCAGGCCUAACACAUGCAAGUCGAACGAGUGGCGGACGGGUGAGUCAUGUCUGGGAAACUGCCUGAUGGAGGGGGAUAACUACUGGAAACGGUAGCUAAUACCGCAUACCAUCAGAUGUGCCCAGAUGGGCUUUGCUUGUUGGUGGGGUAACGGCUCACCAAGGCGACGAUCCCUAGCUGGUCUGAGAGGAUGACCCGCCACAAUGGAACUGGGAACCGGUCCAGACUCCUACGGGGGGCAAGAAGGGGGAAUAUUGCACAAAGGGGUGAAACCUGAAGCAGCCAGGCCGGGGGUAUGAAGAAGGCCUUCGGGGUGGAAAGUACUUUCAGCGGGGAGGCGUUACCCGCAGAAGGAACACCGGCUAACACCGUGCCAGCAGCCGCGGUAAUAC